rnacentral:rRNA from 1 species
AUUGAACGCUGGCGGCAGGCCUAACACAUGCAAGUCGAGCGAGCGGCGGACGGGUGAGGAAUGUCAGGGAAACUGCCAGAUGGCGGGGGCGUACUGCUGCAAGCGGUAGCUAAGCCCGCAUACCAACAACUGUGCCAAGGUUGGACUUGCUAGUAGGGGGGGGAAUGGCGUACUUAGGCGACGGUCCCUAGCUGGUCUGAGAGGCUGACCAGCCACACUGGAACUGAGACACGGUCCAGACUCCUAAGAGAGGCAGCAGUGGGGAAUAUUGCAGAAUGGGCGAAAGACUGAUCCAGCCAUGCCGCGUGUGUGAAGAAGGCCUUCGGGUUGUAAAGCACUUUCAGCUGGGAGGCGUUACCCGCAGAGUAAGUACCGGCUAACUCCGUGCCAGCAGCCGCGGUAAUUC